UCUCUCUCUCUCUCUCUUUCUGUACAUUAUUUUUGCAUUUUUAGUCGUAAGCAAGACUGUUUACACCAGUUAAACAUAAUAAUUAGAACUAAGUAUUUCAUAAUAGUAUCCAUUUUACCCCCUUAUAAUUAUGACAUAGUUUCUCAUAAUAAUGAUGUGAGGCAUUUGUCUAUAGGACAAAAGGUGAACUUUGAUGGUUUUCAAGCACAUUUAAGAAUAUGGAUUAUCCUUGCAUUUUCCUGCCUAAUUAUGGUUUGACCCAUGCUAUGGACUACCAUAAUGAUUCUUGGAAUGACCACAAUAAAACACAUACUGAGUUUAUGCAUUUGCACCCUGCCUUUGAGAUCUGUAUGAUACAGCUUAGGAGAAGAAAAAAACAAAACCUGCCACUGAUGUAGCUGCCUACAUUCAAAAACAGUUACAAACUCUCUGGCCAGUCACACAGCUAUGGAUGGAUGCAUCAGAAAUAUUUGCUUAAAGGAAUGUAUACUGACAGAGAAACAGUUUGCGUGAUUUUAUGAUUACUAGAUGGUGAGGGUGUCAAUUUCAGGGCCAGGAAGCGACUGUGUCAGCGAUUAUGCAACAGCCAGGGUCAUUUGGCACGUCAAUAUUUAUGGUAAAUUAAAACAAUAUGACAUUGAAAUAAGUUGAUGCAUAGACAGCUUCUCCAUGAUGAUAACAAUUGAUGCUUAAAUAACCAGCAAUGGCCCACAUGUAAUUGUGGGGUGUUAUAUGACUGCUGUUACAGAUACUGAAGGAUGUCCUAAAUGAGAAGUUUGGCACCAACCGCUCAGAACAGAGAACACACGUCACGGAUAUACAAAGAAUUCUUUAUGAUGAAACUCCACCAGGAACACAGCAUAUCACCUUUGGCCCUAGUCCUGGCAAUCAGUGAAUUGAAAGAUAGUGGCUUACACACUAUGAAGCCAUUAUCUUCAAUUCUGAACCUCUCUGAGAGCCUGGAAGAUGAUGGGUAUUUUCCCAUUAUGCAUCUGGACAAAUCUGUGGUCCAGUGUUUCUUUCAAAUCAUGAUUCAGGUUAGGAUUUUUUUUACAAGCUUCCCCAACUGAUGUCCAUUAAUUAUGCAUGCAGCACCUUAGUUGUAUGGAGUAGACGUGUAUAUUGGGACUGAGAUCCCAGAAGAAGAAAAAUUGCAGAAUGGGACAGAUUUUAGUCAGAUAUGACUAAAAUAUUUAAUUAUAGAUUGUCCACGUGAUGAAGAUGUCUUCAACUCAUGACACAGCAUAAUCUAUUUAGGUCGGACCAUAUCUAUUGCAAAAGUGGAUUUAUACAAUAGAAUCAGACAGCUGUUUAUAGACCUAGACCGAGUUACAAUCAAGACUACAUAUCUUCCUCACUUACUUUGAUCAUUUCACAGACUUCUGCACAAUGGAGCAUGUUCUCUCUUUCAUGAGUCUAAUACGAAUGCAUUAUUUAUGAAAAUGCACUUAAUUUAAUUGUGCAGAAAUAGGUGGCAUGAUCAUAUUAAUUAAGUAUUAAGAUUAAAUUUUUAAGGUAGCCAAAAAACAUGCACAAUUGGCCAACUCCAUGGCUGUUUGCCUUCUGACUGCAGCUCAUUCAACAGACUAUUCAACCAGUGUUCCCCAUUCUAGACCAUCGUUUCACCAGCUAUUUACAGGCCCUCUGUGCCCACUAUCCAUCAGAGCAUAUCUCCUACCCCAGAAUGAAUAACUGUUUUUCACUAUAUGUGCUUAUAUUUUUCAUUAUAAAGGUUUUCUCAUUAUAUUGUGAACCACAGCUAGAAGGCUAGAAGGAUCUCUUUCUGGAUCUGGAUCUAAACACAGGUUAGCCCAUUGGGUAAAGGAAAUGAUUACGUAAACAGACUUGAACACUGGUCUUCUUUGGUUACCUCCUGGGCGGCAGUAAGACUGUCACUUGCAGACAAUUGUGAAGUAGCGAUAUGGAGCUCCCCAUCUUCCUUUGCUAGACUCCACAGACUGAAUGCAUCAGUCUGCCUCAGAAUGCUGAGUUUGAGUGAUUCUCAUCCUCAAUAAAGGGUUGGCAAGGUGCACUGUUGGGACGUGUUACAAAACCUAUGAUGUCCUCUGCUUGAUCCAAAGGAGACCUCACUGACAGUUGGGUACAAAAGGAAGUAGAACAGAAGGCAAUCUAUGUAAAAUCAGAUGUAUCCAUCUCGAUACUCAGGUUGUUAAGACUGGCCAGAAGAUGACUAUGAUGUAGGAGGGACCCUUUAUAGGCUACCCACGUGGGGUCACAAUCCCAGUCACUUACUGAUACUCAGCAAGAAGUCUCAGCUGACUUACAGCCCUCCACUUAGCUAUAGAACCACUGUUACAUAUGCUUCUUAGCAUUUGCUUUCUGUAUCACUGAUCUGUGGCUUUCUUUUGCAUUAGCUAGUAAGGUAGCCAGCGAAAACAUAUACUUCUACUCUCUACCUUGAAGAUGCAUCAUGGGGUUUUCAAACCAGUAUUCAAACUGAAAAUCUCACCCUAGAUCAGGGAUGGCCUACAGAGACUUGUGUUUACCCUCUUCAAACCUAUCAAAUUCAGCCCAUGAAGGCCUUAGCAAUUAGCUAAUGAGCGGAAUCAGGUGUGUGAAAUAAGGUAGAAAAAUAAACUCUGCUGUGCUUAGUUUCUCCAGGACUGGAGUUUGCUUUAGAGGUUACUGCAUCAAAGCUGUAAGAGGUAUUACAUUGGCAAAGAAGACCACACCUCAUGCAAAAUGUAAUUUCAUGAAUACAUGUAGUUCUAACCUCAUCAUUAUUGAUGGGCAUGAAAGCAAGUAACCUUUCUGGCUUCAAAGAGGAACAUCAGUGGAUCAGAUGUGGUUAAUUGCUCUCACAUACUCAAUAUUCACUAUAUUCAGCAAACUUAAAAAAAAAAAAACAACUAGGAACACAUGUUGCGAUGAGAAUUAGACCUAGACCUCCAACUAAGAUGAGACCUUGCUUGCUCAGUAAGGGUGUAGCACUAGGCCAAAGAAAUAAUUACAGGCAGCUAAUUAUUCACACUAUAAACAAGGCUGAUCUUGUUCAGACUCAACUGGAGGACUAGAAUAUGGCCAGAAAAUGACUCAUAGUCAUGUGACCUGCAUCAAACAUACAGUUUUGUAUAUUAUGAACAAAACAAAUUCUGUAUAUCAUGUAAAUAAAUGGUAAAUUCUAAUUUGCUUAUUCAGUUGAGGACCCAAUAAACAAGAAACAUUUGUCACUAAUUUUAAGGAGUUAAACAUUUAUUUCAACAAUAUUAAACAGACACUCGUUUUAGCCAGUCAUUGUCGGUGUCACUGCUGUGCUAAGAAUGAUCUACCACCCAAAUAACAUCCUCUUAGUGGUAGUCCUAUGGUGUUCCCUGUCUGUUGAUGGAAAAAAGAGAGUGGGGCUUUUGCAAAUUGCAGAUGGCAUCUAUUGGGCUGCAGUCAAUAACUGUACACCUACAAAGUGACCUAUGUAGAUGGUAGUAAUCUCAUAAAAUGCGCAAUUAUGGUAGGGAUGAGCUUGUAGAGUACCUCAAAAAUAUGGGUCUUCUCUCCACAAAGUAAGAUUGACUAACCUCGUUUGGCUGAUGCUUUUAUCCAAAGUGUAAUACGAAUACAUUGAGAAAGCAUACAGCUGAGCAGUGGAGGGCCUUGCCCAACAGUGGGAACUUGGUGCUGGGCUUUGAACUCACAACCCACUGAGCCUUAACCACUGAGCCAUCGUGCAGAACUUUCCCUCUCAAGUAGAUAUUAUACUGCCAUUUAACAAGGACAAACAGUAUCACUGUUGCCCCCUCCUAAAUGGUGCACUUGCAGCCUUGUGGCCCUUGCUUGGGCAUGGUUGUGAGGUAUGCAAGGCCAUAGGGUGUCCGAUUUCUUUUUUUUUAUGCUUCAAAAGUGUUUCCACAAGUGGCCUUAAUGUGCUCCUUGGCAAACCUACAUCAAAGUAAACUCAGCAGUAGUGUCUUACCCAAAACACCUUGCAAUUGUUAGCGAGGCCAAAUCACAGCAAAUGGGUUUGUUGAGAGCAGAGAAUAACAAGAUGGAUGCAGCAACAUUAACACCAACGACAGGGUCCUAAAGUAUCUUUCGCUCAGGCAUAACAACAGAAAUGAUGAUGGCAAAAGGGGAAAAAAAUAGAAAAGACGCAGUUUCCAGUUGAACCAGAGUUGAAAUCCACACCCAUUUUAAACACAUAAGGCAAUCAUGGAAUGAUUGAUGCUUUUGUAGUGUUUUUGGAAUUUAUUUGAUAUGGUUCAAAUCAGCUAGCUGUAUUCACUAAGCCUGUUAAAAUAAACAUGGCUAUUACACAUGUAUUUCUCCAUAAAACCAACUUUCUUAACAGCUCUUUCUAUCAUAUGGUUUUCUACACCAUAUAUACCAUAUGCGUACAUUCUAUGUAGUGAGUGUGCGUAUGGCUAAUGAGAAACCGUUUAGGAUUCACCCUGUUGUUUACCUCAGUAGCUAGCUCCCCUGAAGUUUAGCUAAUCUGGUGUUUAUUUCCAUUUCAGUUCACAAGUAAUCAUCUCACUCAGGGUCUAAGCUGACUCAAUAAGGAGCUUAUGUGUAGCCUGCUCUGUUUUCACAAAUUCAUGUAGGUAAUCCAGAAUACACCAUACCUUCUCUGCGUUUUUUUCAACCUAUAGAGUUGUCACUUUAUAAAGUCAAUUAUGAAGCUUAGCUGCUGCUUUUGGAAUGGAGAGAAAGCUAAAGCAUGCGUUUGUUAGGAGUAUUUUAGUAACGCUGCUCAAAAACAUUAGUCAGCACUCUCACCCAGAGAGGUGGCCUAUAUCUGAGCAUGCUUCAGUGAAAUGGUACAUGUCCACUUGCAACUCUCAAUGGAGAGCUCUACCAGAUUCACACAGCACAUGAUAGGUGUAGUGCUACAAAACCUGGAUCAGAGAACCUGGUUCAGCAAAACCAGUCUAUAUCCAGAAAAUCCUCUUCUAAACUGGUCUAAAAUGACUAAUAUUAGUGUUUCUGUAUUGCAGCUCUUGCAGCAUAUGGAACAGUUAUUUUCAUGUAGCUGAGUAUUGGGGAGUUGUGUAAACUUUGGUCUCCAGUAGUACUGCAUUAUUUAUCAGGGAUGAAUGUCGAUGCGGAGGCCAGGUAAUUUAAGCCAACCAUACACACAAGAAAUCCAGGAAAAGAUAACCAUGUUAUUCACAUGGAUAAUUGGGUGUGAAUGUGUGUGUGCUCACACAUGCCCUGUGAUGGACUGAUUUCCCAUUCAGGGUGUAUUCCCACUUCAUGCCUCAUGGGACAGGCUCUGGAUUCACCACAUCCCUGACCAGGAUUAAGCGGUUACUGAAGAUUAAUGAUUUAAUAAAUUAAUAUACUUAUACACACUGCUGUAGUUCAGUCACUGAGGAUGAUGCAAGUGCUUAAUACUUAUAGAUGCCUCUAUGGACAGUCAGUAAAUCUUGCAGGGACAUGAAAGGCUCCUGCAGCCUGUGCAUGUGUGGAUGCACUUUGGCUUUAUUAAGAAGCCUCAUGUCUCAUGAAUUACAUAUGAGUGACAAGGUUUGUGAACAGCACCAGGCCAGAAUAAAAUAUUAUGGAAACACAACAAAUCGAUCUUGAGGUAUUCAUACAGGCCACAAAAGGCAUCGAUCCAUGUCAGCAAAGACUCAAUGCAGUGCACAGUGACAAAUUAAACCCUGGUUCUGAAUGUAAAAUAAUAAUAAUAAUAAUAAUAAUAAUAAUAAUAAUAAUAAUAAUAAUAAUAAAUGCAGUGGUUCGCAUCAUUUGUAAAGACUGAACCAUGUUAAACAAGUUCUUCUGUCAUUCCCACCAUAUCUGUAGAGGACAUCUGACAACCAGUAAUAAACUGUGGACAGCACAUAGUAUAUGUUUCAUACUCGGGUAUAAGAAAGACAGCGAGUAUAUUGCUUCAUUAACUUUAAUAAAGAUGUUACGUUAGCAAUCCUAAAAUGUAUACAAAAGUGUGGCUUCAAAUUUCAAGUUCUCAAAAUAUCUCUGCAUGUACCCUAUAUGGCCAAAAGUAUGUGGACACCUGAACAUCACAGCUAGAUGUGCUUGUUGAACAUCCCUUUCCAAAA